CAGAGGACUUUCUGUUGGCAUUAUAUUCUGUUUUCCUUUUGGGUUUUCUUCAUUGAUUGUAUGUGUGAGUGUUGUGAUUUUUUCUUCAUUUAUCUGCUUCAUGCUGAAUCAGCUGCCAUUUCUUUUAUUUAAUAACAGUGUGUAUAUGGGGGUGCACCAAAAGGGCCUCAGAUUAAAGACUUAGACAGAGGUGUUGAUAUUGUGGUGGCUACGCCUGGUCGGUUGAAUGAUCUUUUGGAGAUGAAACGAGUGUAUCUCCAUCAAAUUUCAUAUUUGGUGUUGGAUGAGGCAGACAGAAUGCUAGAUAUGGGCUUCGAACCCCAAAUAAGGAAAAUUGUGAAGGAGGUGCCUCCACGUAGGCAAACCUUGAUGUACACAGCAACAUGGCCAAAGGAGGUGCGAAAAAUUGCUGCUGAUCUACUGGCGAACCCUGUUCAGGUUAACAUUGGAAAUUCUGAUGAGCUUGUUGCCAACAAGUCAAUAACCCAGGCGUUUGCUUUGUCCCCGGGCGAUUUUACAAACGAAACGCUUCUUCAACGGGAGGGAAUCACCAAUUCGCUCGGUCGGGCGAUUUUCACAAGCAAAACGCCCGACCCGGGCGUUCUCUCUGGACUCCUUGGUCGGCCCUUGUUUUUCAGCUUCAGCUCCUCCGUCAUCCUAGGCUCCUCCCGCAUGGACUUUUGAAUGAAUGUAGCGAUCCCAUCCUGAAGCCGCCUCGUCAUGGGUCCGCCAUGUGAGCGCGUAUCAGUGGUAGUAAACUAUGACUUUCCGACGGGAGUUGAGGAUUAUGUGCACAGAAUUGGAAGAACUGGUCGGGCAAGACAUUCUUCCGAUCUUGUCAAAAUUCUGGAAGGAGCGAAUCAAAAUGUUCCUGCUAAACUUGGUGAAAUGGCAUCACGUGGUGGUGGGAUGGGAAGAGGAAGGCGCCAGUGGACGUAAUGAUUCCUCCUAUGGUGGACGUAAUGACUCUCUCUACAGUGGAAGAGGCGGCAGCGGAGGAAGGGGAGGUUGGGGAGCACCAUCAUCUCCUGAUAGACGGGACAAGUAUGGUUCUGGAUCAUUCGGUUACGACUCAAACGCUAAUGGAAGCUUUCAUUAGAAGAGCUUUAACGAGAGCAUGAUGGAUGCUUCCAAGAAUAGAGAUAGAAGCCGCAGCAGAAGCCCCAACCGGAAUUCAGACUGGGCUAGUGCAGAGAAAUUUAAUGGAGCCACCACUAACCAGCACAGUUUUCACGAAACUAUGAUGGCAGCGGCUCAAUCAAUUAAAUCUGAUGCAAUCGGGAAAUGGACUUGACCACGAACAUAACACUGACCACGAGGAUGGCAAAAAUGCAUCAACUGAACCAUUGAGGGAAGAUCAAAAAUAGUAGACAUUGUUAUUCCUUUUGAGCAUUCAACAAAUAUUAAUUAUCCUUUUAUUUUAUCUUUACGCUUUUAUCGUAUCAUUCCUGGUUUGAUCGAUCGGCAAAGCUACAGUGACUACCUUUUAUCCCUAAAUUAGACGCCGAAGUAAUCGUCGGGCAAUAGCUCCCGCGUCGAGACGUUCGACGCAAAUUAUCCGGGUUAAGGAACUUCAUCCUUAACAAUUGGUGCUUUCAUCUUCGAACUUAUGGCCGCUCGUUACACCACCGAAGAGCAGCAACAACAGCCUUGGGGUAUGCCUCCCAUGGGGGACUUGCCGCAAGACCCUCCGUUGCCGCCUCUGGAGGAGGCUAACACAAUAGAUCUGACCGCCGCUCAGCUUGACCGCAUCCGUGCUGCACUUACUAACCUGGAGGCCCGGCUGGCACUGACCAAUCUUCGCGUGGGAGAGUUACGCGGGCCACCGCAACCAGACCCAGACCCGCCUGACAAUACUAUGACGUCUGGACCACCGGGAUUACCACAACUGAAUUCGGUGGCUGGAAACGUUACGACACCCUUUGGUCAGCCGACCUUGACCAGCCCAGGCUCAUAUGCCCAGCCACACAAUUUUCACGCCGCCUACCACGCACCCCAGCGCGAGGUACAGCAGCCCCAACAAUAUUUGCAGCCGCAACAACCAUACCAACUGCCUGCUCCUCAACUCGAUGCUUUGCAAUGGCAGCAACCGGAGAUGCAGGAUUGGCGGUGGCAACAGCAUCAGCCCCACACGCGACGUCAAACAAGCUGGGACCCUCCCAGCUACCGCCAACAAUCAGGGCUCAUGCCGUACGACCAAUAUCCGUUGCCAUAUCACCACCGGGAGACAAAUCAGCUGCCGCCGAGCCCGCCUUGUUGUUGGGAUCCACCUGCGCAGUGAGCCCUUUAUGGCUGUCCAACCCACAAUAAGUCCUACCACGUUCCGCAGCCGCACCUGGGCCCAACUCCAGCCUACGUGGCGCCGAGUCACGGAUUCCCUACCUGGGACUAUCGCGUGUAGCAAGAACACCACGCAUGUGAUCAACAAAAGUGGCAGGAUUGUUACCAUCAAACUCAAACGGAGAUACCUGCGGCUUACACCCCUUGGUGGAGACCAGAAUCUACUCCAUCCAUAUUUGCUCCGGUGCAUUCCGUGGUUGUUACUAAAUUUGAAAGUGAAGAAGGUACAAUUUCAGAUUCUUUGAUUUUAGAUGCUCAGGUUGAAUAUUCAUGUCAUGAUCCCAAAGAUUUAGAUUGCGUCUCAAAUCGUGGUAUUGUGACAAUCUGGAAAGUGUGCUUUCACUGGACUCUAACUUAGAGACGGAAAUGGAUGCACUUGAUCAUGAUGCGUUUGGUGUAUCUCGUUCUUCUUCCAUUGCUCUGCUUUGUGAUAAUCAUGGAGUUGAGGAGGAUAGAGAUGCAAGCCUCGACAACCGACAAGCCACAUCUUUUAAGGAAAUAUAUCCAUUGUGCGGCUCUCAUGCUUUCUUGCCUGUUAUCGAAAGGGAUUUCAAGGUUUUGCUUCAAGGAUAUGUGAAUGAAAGGUUGGAUAUUCUGAAGUUGAGGAAGAUGAUGAAAUGAACCCUUCUUUGUUAAAAGAGGACAGACAUGGUUUCUAUGUGGAUUUGCAUAUUAGUAAUGUUGCAAGUAUGAAUUAUCGUUCAGCAUUGCUCGACACAGAUGCACGGUUGAUCCCUCCCCGGAUGGACACGCGUUAUUCGAGCAUUUGUGGUCGCGUUGACAAGAUCCAUGUGUUGGUGUUUAAUUAUCACGAGCCGCCUUGGUGAAUUUUGAUGGAGAUAAUGAAGGCAGACGCUUAAACAUUCGGUGUGCGUUUGAUCCAGGAAGACAGAGCUCGCCAAAGCUUCUGUUUGCGUCGCUCUUCGUUGUAUCAUGGUUCCCAGCUUGAGGACAAGGUAGAUUUUAACCUCGGGGAGUUAUACGAGCAUAUCUACAUCAUAUCUUAGUAUUUAUUCUAUUAUUAAGUAGCAUAUCUUUCCUAUAUAAUUAGUGUCUUGUUCUUUAAGUUAGGGUAUCCACUAUUAUAAAUAGUGGA